AUUGAACGCUGGCGGCAGGCUUAACACAUGCAAGUCGAACGGUAACGCGGGGCAACCUGGCGACGAGUGGCGAACGGGUGAGUAAUGCAUCGGAACGUGCCCAGUAGUGGGGGAUAGCCCGGCGAAAGCCGGAUUAAUACCGCAUACGACCUAAGGGUGAAAGCGGGGGACCGUAAGGCCUCGCGCUAUUGGAGCGGCCGAUGUCAGAUUAGGUUGUUGGUGGGGUAAAAGCCUACCAAGCCGACGAUCUGUAGCUGGUCUGAGAGGACGACCAGCCACACUGGGACUGAGACACGGCCCAGACUCCUACGGGAGGCAGCAGUGGGGAAUUUUGGACAAUGGGGGCAACCCUGAUCCAGCCAUGCCGCGUGCGGGAAGAAGGCCUUCGGGUUGUAAACCGCUUUUGUCAGGGAAGAAACGCUCUGGGUUAAUACCUCGGGGUAAUGACGGUACCUGAAGAAUAAGCACCGGCUAACUACGUGCCAGCAGCCGCGGUAA
rnacentral:rRNA from 1 species